AGAGCAUGAAAACACGCUGUUCAAUAAUCCGUGUGCGGACAUCAUAUGAAACACAAACCGACGCCCAGAACAAACUCCAUGAGAAGGAACCGUGACUGGCUGACUCUGAAAAUGGCAAAAUUAGAUAAAAAAAACAGGUGCUGUCCGGUUGAAAACUUGUGGUGUAAUGUCGACUGCAUGUGAACAGAGUUCAGUUGGAUGUUUAGAUAAUUGCUGGAUACUCUGAACCCAAUAUUCCCAGUGCUGCUGCUGGCCAAUGAGAGAAGUGCAGACAGUAGAGACGACAUCAAUAUUAGUAAUAAGAUACUCCAUUUUCUCACUAAGAGGGGACUCACAAAUGCUUCUUGUAUGAAACAGCUGCGUCUCUCUUCGGGUCGUGCCACAGCAUUAACAGGGAAUAAUGUGGCGGAGUACGGACUGAUAAAGGAUCCGAAACCAUAGCAACCGCUGAGGAGAAGAUGCUGACUUUGGUUGAUGCUCUGUGAUCUCACGCACAUUAUGAAAACAACACACCACAAUGUGAAGGUGAUGUCAUAAUGGGCAUUUUACUGCUGCAUCAUCUGUUGAUCUCAGUUCAGAGGUGAUGUCAGUGAAAUACUGGACAGCUCCAUCAGAUUUGGACAAUUGGACUUCCACUUUCUAUGAAGCCCACAUUUAUAAUGCGUUGAAAAGGCAUUAUAAACGCACUAUUAACAUCAUUAUCAUAC